rnacentral:rRNA from 1 species
UACGUAGGGUGCGAGCGUUAAUCGGAAUUACUGGGCGUAAAGCGUGCGCAGGCGGUUCGUUGUGUCUGAUGUGAAAGCCCCGGGCUCAACUUGGGAACGGCAUUGGAAACUGGCGAGCUAGAGUGUGGCAGAGGGGGUGGAAUUCCGCGUGUAGCAGUGAAAUGCGUAGAGAUGCGGAGGAACACCGAUGGCGAAGGCAGCCCCCUGGGCUGACACUGACGCUCAGGCACGAAAGCGUGGGGAGCAAACAGG